AAAGUCGUAACAAGGUUUCCGUAGGUGAACCUGCGGAAGGAUCAUUACUGAAGUGAUUUGGGGAUGUUGCUGGCCUCUUCUUUUUGAGGGGCAAAUGUGCACUCCCUGAACAAUUCACAAUUUCCAUCACACCCUUGUGCACAUCUUGUAGGCGCCCACUCACCUCUCUUGGUCGGGGCGUCCUAUGUAUUCCUUCAUCUCACACUUUAUUGAAUGGUGCUCUUGAACGCAUCUCAUGGAUUAUUUGUAAUAAAGUAAUCACAGAAACAACUUUCAACAACGGAUCUCUUGGUUCUG
rnacentral:misc_RNA from 1 species